rnacentral:lncRNA from 1 species
ACAUGGAAAAGCCCUGAGACCGCAUGGAAGAGCAUACUGUUUUCCAGCCUCUCCUAUUUCCUCCAACUUCCUGUUUGUCCGUUGUCAGCCACUGUGGGACAAGGGAAUGGGAUCUUAAGGGACUUCCUUAUUGGAACCUCAUCAUGACGUCCAGAAACAGGAGAAAUGGUCUCUGUCAUUUUACACCAUGGAGGUUUGAGCAGCUCUUGGCAAGGACAAUUCUUCCCUCUUUGGCCAUGUUCGGGUCUGGCCAUUUAUGUGUGUGUGUACAGGUACACUCGCUAAUCGGAAUUUCACAGCAGCAGCCUGGCCUACUCCUACAGUGCAAUUCACAGACUCUGGUGACAUGGAGCUGACCUGCUCUUCACAACAGAACUAUUGAAAUUUCUGUCCAAUGAUGUUGAAAUAUUUCCUUUAUUGUCACUUGGAGACCAUUUUCCAAGUAAAAAUGCCCUGAAAAUAGAAGAUGAUAUCAUCCAAAGCAUCUCUGUCGUCAGCGGUAGAGCCACGAGCAAGUGGCCCACAUGCUCACUGCCUCUGAGAGCACCGGGUAUCACAGGUCAUAGUGGUGAUGCUCACCCAGGACCAGUGGAUAGUUCCAAACUCAUGGUCACACAGACACACCCAGCAGGAAGUAUCCUACAAUGCAGAAAUGGAGAUCAGUUGAGAACUUACAGGAGUCAUUCGGUCCUUUUUCUACCACAUGGCUCCUGCUGACUGAACUCUGGUCAUCAGGCAUGGUGCCAAGCAGCUCUGCCUGCUGAGCCAUUCUGCAGGCCCUGCAACAGCACUCGUCCCCCAGCUUUCUUCGAAUUCUGAGUGGAUACUUAACAGAUGAGCUUUCAGUUCGUAUAGUUCAUAAUAAUAGCUAAAUCCAUCAACUGGACUUUAUCACUGCAUAAUAAUAUCUUCAUCCCUAUAUAAAUUUUAAUAAAUUCUACCCUUUCUGAUAAGAAUACUGUCAUUUAUAUUUUCUUUGUGUUUUUCUGACAAUUGCUGAUUUUUCUAUUUUUUGUCUUUGUCACUUCAUCGUAAGGGUAUUAUAAAACACCCUUAUGAUGAGAAAAGUACAUUUAAUGU